rnacentral:rRNA from 1 species
AACAAACGCUGGCGGCGUGCCUAAUACAUGCAAGUCGAACGGGGAAAGCUUUCGGGUGAGUACUAGUGGCGCACGGGUGAGUAAUACGUAGAUAAUCUGCCUUCGAGUUGGGGAUAACUAGUCGAAAGAUUAGCUAAUACCGAAUAAGACCACAAGAACUGAGGUUCUAGGGGUUAAAGGUUUCUCGCUUGAAGAUGAGUCUGCGCGAGAUUAGCUAGUUGGUGUGGUAACGGCUCACCAAGGCAACGAUCUCUAACUGGUCUGAGAGGAUGAUCAGUCACACUGGAACUGAGACACGGUCCAGACUCCUACGGGAGGCAGCAGUAGGGAAUAUUGCACAAUGGGGGAAACCCUGAUGCAGCGACGCCGCGUGAGUGAUGAAGGCCUUCGGGUCGUAAAGCUCUGUCGCAAGGGAAUAAUAAACUGAAUGUACCUUGCAAGAAAGGAUCGGCUAACUUCGUGCCAGCAGCCGCCGUAA